rnacentral:rRNA from 1 species
GUUGUCCGGAAUCAUUGGGCGUAAAGAGCGUGUAGGCGGCUCGGUAAGUCCGUUGUGAAAGUCCAGGGCUCAACCCUGGAAUGCCGGUGGAAACUGUCGAGCUAGAGUCCGGAAGAGGCGAGUGGAAUUCCUGGUGUAGCGGUGAAAUGCGCAGAUAUCAGGAGGAACACCAAUGGCGAAGGCAGCUCGCUGGGACGGUACUGACGCUGAGACGCGAAAGCGUGGGGAGCAAACAGG